GACGAACGCUGGCGGCGUGCUUAACACAUGCAAGUCGAACGGAAAGGCCCUGCUUUUGUGGGGUGCUCGAGUGGCGAACGGGUGAGUAACACGUGAGUAACCUGCCCUUGACUUUGGGAUAACUUCAGGAAACUGGGGCUAAUACCGGAUAGGAGCUCCUGCUGCAUGGUGGGGGUUGGAAAGUUUCGGCGGUUGGGGAUGGACUCGCGGCUUAUCAGCUUGUUGGUGGGGUAGUGGCUUACCAAGGCUUUGACGGGUAGCCGGCCUGAGAGGGUGACCGGCCACUUGGGAUCUCAGGACCCCCCGAAACUCCUAGGGGAGCGACGUGGGGGGAUGUAUGCACAGGGGGGGGAAGCUGGAAGCAGCACCGCCCGGUGGGGAGGGGCGACCUCUGGGUUGAAAACGUCUUCCGCGUGGGACGAGGGGGGGGUGACGGAGGUGGGUAAGGAGCCCCCGACAAAGAACUGC
rnacentral:rRNA from 1 species